rnacentral:rRNA from 1 species
AUUGAACGCUGGCGGCAGGCCUAACACAUGCAAGUCGAGCGGAGCGGCGGACGGGGGAUUGAUGCCUGGGAAUCUGCCUGGUGGUGGGGGAUAACGUCGGGAAACGUGCGCUAAUACAGCAUACUAUCAGAUGAGCCUAGGUCGGAGUAGCUAGUUGGUUGGGUAAUGGCUCACCAAGGCGGCGAUCCCUAGCUGGGCUGAGUGGAUGAUCAGCCACACUGGAAAUGGUACACGGUCCAGACUCCUACGGGAGGGAGCAGGUGGGAAAAUUGCACAAAGGGGGAAACCCUGAUGCAGCCAUGCCGCGUGUGGGAAGAAGGCCUUCGGGUUGUAAAGCCCUUUCAGCGAGGAGGCGUUACUCGCAGCAGAAGCACCGGCUAACUCCGUGGCAGCAGCCGCGGUAAUAC